rnacentral:rRNA from 1 species
UACGUAGGCAGCGAGUGUUGUUCGGAGUUACUGGGCGUAAAGGGCGCGUAGGCGGCCUGAUAAGUAGGGGGGUGAAAUCCUGCGGCUUAACCGCAGGGCUGCCUUCUAAACUGUCGGGCUCGAGCACAGUAGAGGCAGGUGGAAUUCCCGGUGUAGCGGUGGAAUGCGUAGAGAUCGGGAAGAACAUCAGUGGCGAAGGCGGCCUGCUGGGCUGUUGCUGACGCUGAGGCGCGACAGCGUGGGGAGCAAACAGG